CGAGAGGUGCAGGCGUUAUUCGGAAUUAUUGGGCGUAAAGGGUGCGUAGGCGGUAUGAUAAGUCUGUUGUUAAAUAUCCUGGCUCAACCAGGAAAAUGCAAUGGAAACUAUUGUUCUAGAGGGUGAGAGAGAGAAGUGGAAUUCCAGGAGUUAGCGGUCAAAUGCGUAGAUCUCUGGAGGAACACCGAUGGCGAAGGCAGCUUCUUGGCUCAUUUCUGACGCCGAGGCACGAAAGCGUGGGGAGCAAACAGGAUUAGAUACCCUGGUAGUCCACGCUGUAAACGAUGAUCACUAGAUGUUGGUUCGGCUUGCCGGAUCAGUGUCGUAGCUAACGCGUUAAGUGAUUCGCCUGGGAAGUACGGUCGCAAGACUA
rnacentral:rRNA from 1 species